CACCAGCGCCACGAGUGGCGAUCACGAUUAUUGGGCCUAAAGCGUCCGUAGCCGGCUAGGUAAAUCCAUUGUGAAAUCGGCAUGCUAAACAUGUCGGCUUGCAGUGGAGACUGCCAAGCUCGAGACCGGGAGGAGUCAGAAGUAUGCCGUGGGGACCGGUAAAAUGGGAUAAUCCACGGUAGACUACCAAUGGCGAAGGCAUCUGACCAGAACGGGUCUGACGGUGAGGGACGAAGGCUAGGGGAGCGAACCGGAUUAGAUACCCGAGUAGUCCUAGCAGUAAACGCUGCGAGCAAGGUGUUGCGCAUCCUACGAGGAUGUGCAGUGUCGAAGAGAAGUCGUUAAGCUCGCCGCCUGGGAAGUACGGUCGCAAGACUGAAACUUUAAGGAAUUGGCGGGGGAGCACCACAAGGGGUGCGGCGUGCGGUUUAAUCUAACUCAACACAGAGAACCUUACUAGAAGCGACGGCAGGAUGAAGGUCAGUCUGAAGGGCUUACCUGACGAGCCGAGAGGUAGUGCAUGGCCAUCGUCAGCUCGUGCUGUAAAGUGUCCUGUUAAGUCAGGCAACGAGCGAGACCUGUAUCCACAAUUGCCAGCAGCCUACGGGACUGGGCACAUUGUGGAGACUGCCCCGGAAACGGGGAGGAAGGUGCAGGCUACGGUAGGUCUGUAUGCUCCGAAUCUUCUAGGCUACACGCGCGCAACAAUGGCAACGACAAUGGGCUGCGACCCCGAAAGGGGAAGCUAAUCCUCGAAACGUUGUCCUAGUCUAGAUUGGGGGUUGUAACCCACCCUCAUGACACUGGAAUCCCUAGUAAUCGGGUUUCAUCAAGGCCUGGUGAAUAUGUCCCUGCUCCU
rnacentral:rRNA from 1 species